UUUCGGUAUCUGAAAGAACCAGAUAUUCUACACUUCUGACUUCCUCUUCUGGAGCUUUCUGAUUGAUGUGGUUUGGCAGCGGCUGGCGCUGAAAAUAGACCUGCAGCGUAUCUCGAACGAAAGCGGAGCAAAGUGUUGGUCCAGGCAUGCACCACUGCCGGUCUGGAGUGCCGGCUGUGGAAAUGCUCUGAUAGACAAGAGAGGGAGCAAUGUGCUCCGCAGUAUGAUUCGCCAGCGUUUCGUGGCGCAUUCGCUGUAUGUGGAAAUUGGAGGUUAAGCUGAGCCCAGCCACCCUCCUGAGAAUCUCAUUUCGAUUGCUUGACCCUGCAAUCUUUCAGUUAUUACCCAGAGUUCAUGGCCAUAGGUGAAGGUUGAAAAUCAACCAGUAAUUUGAGAGUUUUACCUUUCGGCUUAGCUCCCUCUCCACCACAAUGGUGCGGUACAAUGCCUGCAAUACCAACCCGCCUGUUGAUCUCCCUUCUACCCUCACUCCUGACUCCUGAACAAGACCCCAAAGUACUUGAACUCCUUCACUUGGGACAAAGACACUCUUCCCACCCGCAGGGAGCAACCAACUGUCUUCUAGCAGAGAACCAUGGCGUCAGACUUGGAGUUGCUGACCCUUAACCUGACUUCAAGUCAAGGGGGGAAAUUCACAUUAAAUUAAAAAAAAAAAAAAAAUAGCCAAUCUUAUUAUGGCUCUUAUUCCUCUUUCAGUUGUUUUGAAGCAGGACAAAAAUUUGAUUAACAGCAGUUAGUUUCAGGCCAUGAAGCCCAGCCCAGGAACACAAAAACAUGUUUUGAAACACACACAAAAAAGUUGUUAAAUCAAGAUAAAGAAAAUGUCGCAAAUGCAAAGAUACUCAGGGCAUUGAAACAUUUAAACAGUAAGACACUGAGCAAUAUUACUGGAUGAUGUGGGGAUUUUCAAACAAACAUUACCUGAAACGAAACCAUCAAGUCCCCAGUGAUAAGAUCUGAGGUGUGUUUUUAUUCAAAUAUUGACGCCUAUUUGGUUUUACCAGUGAAAACUCCCACAGUUCUGCUGCCAAUCAGAUAUAAAUCAGGACUGUAAACAUCCUGGUUCAGAGCAUGUCACACGCUGGCACUGCAGUAAAAUAGGACUUUUGUUUCGUCAACUUCAGGACGGAGAGUGGGUGUGCUGCACACAUGACUGAGAAUCAAUACAAUCAUCUCUGCCUCUGUUUAAUCAGUCCUUGUCUUCACAGCUGUGAGGAUAUAAUGUACUGCAGCAAAUUAUACUUGGUGUGGCCAUGUCUGAAAUGUUACCUGUAUGAUAGCUCUGAGGGCGUGUGCAGGAAGGUGUUGUGAAGAACUGAUCCAAACAAUACAAUUGAAUAAACUCAACUGUGGACAAGCAGACAAGCAUUAUAAAACACCUUAGCAUGAAGUUUACAUAGAGUCUAAAGUACACCCACACAUGAGUCUUUAUCACAUUCCUCCGGUCUGUGAUGUAAGUUUAAACACAUGCAUGAAAAAUGUGAAGCUUCCAUUUAUAACCUGCAUACAGUAUGGCGCCUGAAGGCAUCACACAGGGUCAAAACAAUCACCAGAUAAGACAAAAAGGGUUAAUUAUGGAGCUGGUGUUGUUUUCCUACUGUCCAAUUAAUAAUUCAUAAUACACUCACUGGUGUUUUCUGGCAGGAAGCAUUGAUUAGUCAGUAAUGAGCUGUUUGGUGGUACAAAAGACAGUCAUCAGCAAUAGCUUUGCAUAGUAACACCGUGGCUGCAAUACUGCCAUAGUCCCAGUGAGGGCUGCACGGUGGCUUAGUGGAGUUUGCAGGAUCUCCCUGUGCAUGCAUGGGUUCCCUCCAGAUACUCCUGCUUCCUUCCACAGACAUGCUCAAUAGCUGACUGAUGGUGCUAAAUUGUCCGUAGGUGUGAGAGUAACUACUUCUUUGUCUUUAUUUGAGACUUGUGACUGACUGGAGACCAGUCCAGGGUGUAACCUGCCUCUGGCCCUGUGACAGCAGGGAUUGGAUCCCUCGUUCUAAAGGUAUCUUUAAGCAAGGCAGCAAACCUGCAAGAGCUCAGACACUAUUUCAUGAGAAACCCCACACUCUGACAUCUCUUAUGUGUAUUUUUGACUUAUGUGUAUAUGACAUGAUGGGAAAACAGACAAAUCAACCCCUUGGGGAUUGAUAAAGUAUCUUCUUUGUCCUCAUCAUGGCUUUCUGAAGAGUCCUAGUGAAUCCCAGGGAUGUUUGCAAUAUUGGAAAUGCCGUCUCAGCUUAACUUUCAGUCACCCUGGUAUUAGGUAGAAAGGAGGAACUGAGAUGGAUUUUCAGCCUCCUGGUAAACAGCUCCAGUCUGCACACAUGGUCAGAUCAGUCAUGCCCCUAUAAUAGAUAACACAUAGCCUUUAAAUAAUUAGAAGGAAUCAGUAGUAAACUAGAACUACCUGGUGAUGGCAUGCAAACAUGCCAUGAACCUGCUGUCCGUCAAUUUUGUAGCCAAUCAAGAGUCAGCUACGUUUCCUGCAAAAAGACAUUCAACGGCAUCUUUUCAUUGCUGCUUCCAGAGAUUCUUUACAGCCCAACAAUCAACCCGAGAAGCUGGAAUGGAGUUCAGAAACAUGGUCUGGAACAUGAUCGUUAUCUGCACUUCCAUAGAGAUGUCUGCAUAUAGACUACUCAAGAAUAGAUGGCAUCAGAUGACCGACAAUGGGAGCCAGUUUUAUUUAGCUUUGGAUUGUGUUCCACUACAUUUGCUCUCCACACUGAUUCUUUUCCCUUAUAUGACCUCUUCUCCUCUCACUGGAGCUGCUUUGUGAUUAACACUAUCUGCUGUGUGUGCUAAAUGUGAAUCAAAAUACAUCAGACAGACUGAAGCGGAAGGCGUCAGCAUUCCCAUUCUUGCCUAAAUAUAGCCAGAGGGGGGAUAUAUGAGAUGACAUCCCAUAAUUCACACAAGUGGUCUUUAACUUGUUGUGCAAUCCCAAUUACUCAUGAAGUGAGGCUUUUAUUUAGACUGAAUGUUGUCAUCCUGCUUUUCAGAGCCCAGAUCCUAUCUCAGCUGUCAGGCUGUGCUCUAGACAGCUGCAGUGACACAACCAGAAGUGAAAAAGAAACUUAUUACAAACCGCAAGUGAGUAAAAUAUGAGUAAGGACUGCUGUAAUCAGGAUUCUUGGCUGUGGAAAGACUUCUACAGGACCUUAUAUGGACUGAAAGAAUAAAAAACACUAAGGAGCUGUUCCUGCCAGAUGUAUACAACUGAAUCACUGAUUAAAUGGACCAAAGCUCAGAAUUUAUGCGCUCACUCUGUUUGAGCUGAGUCAGGAUGGAGCGUUGACAGUUCUCAGUAAGGUUUCCCAGAUGGAAAAUGAAGUCAGAGCUCCAUGUAUUUCCGCUGACUCAUUCCAUCACACAGGCAUGCCUGCUGUCGCCAUGGUGCUUUUAAAAUACUGCCGGACAGUUUGCACUGUUAUGAUAAGGACCAAAAAAAUGUUAAGGAAGUGGCUGUGCUGUCUUUGUGCAUGAGUAUGCAGAUGUAAGAUGUCCCAGAAGUUAUUCGACUGGUCGAUGAAAGCAGAUCCAGCUGUGACUGGCCAGCAUGGACCACUGAGUUGAAUCAAGCCCAAGUCCACAGUCAGCAAUGUCACCCAAAAACUGGGUCCAAACUGGCCUGAAACAGCGUAGUGUGCACCCGGCUUAAGCAGUGUUGCUAGGCACACUUAUUAUAAGCAACUAUGGCAAACAUUAUGGGGGAAUCUCCCAAAGUGCCUUGUGAAUCAUAAAGAGGAUGGUUUCUCAACUGUCAAAAUACAAAUAAAUAAGGUUUGAAAACUAUUGCCUUGUAGGCACUGGGACAGUUUGUGGCUGAGUGCGAAGCAGUUGGGAUGAGUGUCAACACCUCCAUGUCUGAGCCCAUGGUUCUCUGCUGAAAAACAGUGGGUUGCUCCCUCUGGGUAGGGAGAGUGUCUUUGCCCUAAGUGAAGGAGUUAAGCACCUCUGGAUCUUGUUCAUGAGUGAGGGUAGAAGGGACGCCUCCUGGUUGCCUCCCUGUGGAGGUUUUCUAGAUGUUUCCAACUGGGACGAGACCCCGGAGUAGACCCAGGACUCACUGGAGGGAUACUAUAUCUCAUCUGGCCUGGGAAACCCCAGAAUCCCCCAGGAAGAGCUGAAAAAUGUCUCUGGGGAGAGAGACGUCUAGGGGGGCACUCAAAACAACAGUAAAGGCAACGUGGUAGAGGUGAACUGGAAUGAGCGUGGUGAAGUUGCUGCAAUGUUAAAUAAAGAAUAACUGCACUACACAAGAAUGAAAACGCCACCUGAGGGAAAAGCAUCAGCCUUUAAGAGCGUCACUGUCCAGUUCUACAGCAGGAAUCCUCACUGCACAGGAUUGAACUCUGGUUCUGGAUAUCUGUGGUCACUUUAUUUUCAUGACUUUAUGCAUCUAUCCCACAUUUCCUCAGUGAAAGCAGCACUUUUUAAAGCACAUGCAUGUUCAUUUGCAUUGACGCUUGCACAUAAUAGUGAUUUUUUUAUUUGAUUCUGUAGAAAAAUAAAAGACAGAGGCGGAUGGUCAAAGAAGCAGACACAAGCCAUGCAGGAGGUAAAUGUUCCUAAACCUCCCUGCUAGCCUCCAGCAUGUUCCACUGUCAACUCAAACAUUCAAAUACAUGCUAAUGACAAGAAACGCAAAGACUUACAAGAUUUUCAGUCUGCAUGCUCAUGUGGUUCUGUGUGCACCUAUGUGAUUAGAAUGAGCUGCUAAUAUGAAAUAAAACACAAGUAGGACAACAUUGAGGAUCAUUCUGAUUAUUCAAAAAGGAUGCUCAGUGUUGACAGCACUGACAGAUAGAGCAGGAUUCUCUGCCUGGUACUAACAAAGCAAAUGUUUAUUUUUAUUCUUAAUUGCUUAAGUGUACGAUAUAUUAUACAUGCCUUUCUAUUUAUUAAGGCUUUAAAAUCAUUAAAUGUGGAAUUUAUUUUUUUCCAGGGGAAAAAUGAAUUCUGAGAGUUUUUGGAUUUUUAGAUUUUAUUUUGUUAGAUUUUCUUUAAAUAAUUAAUUUCUGCUAAAAUCACUGAGAAUUUUCUGUUGUUGUAAAUCAUUUUCUGUUAUUCAGUCCUGGCAAACCUUGUCUGGGUUAAGGUUUCUUUAUCUCAGAAUAAAGCAUAAAAUUUUAUUCAGUCAUCUUUUUUAAAAAAAGAACAAGAAGUGUUCUAAAAAUCUCAUAUUUUCACUUCCUGUUGAAGUGAUUUGCUACACUUUUUUAAAUGCUUAAAAUUUUUCUGCCCAGGAUGUGAAUUUAUUGUAAAUAAACUUUGAUUUAAUGCAGUAAAUGUAAACAUUGUUGAUUCAUAUUUCAUAUUAUAUUUAAAUUAUACCUCACUUUUUAUGUAAUGCUAAAUAUUCUGUCAGACUUUCUUUUAACAAAUGAUUUUUUAUUUUCAGAGUUCUUUUAAUAAUUUUGCUUUAUAUUUAGAGCUAAAUAAGGCCAGAGGGUGCUGGAAGGUGAAUAUGUUGAAGUUUGAAUGAGGGGAAAUUAGUUUAUAAUUAAGGGAAAUUCAUUAAAAUCAGACUGACAUUUACAGGAUUUCAUUUCUAAAAAUGAAUAAGUGUUUUAUAUUUAUGAUCAGGACUCAUGUUGGUUUAAGAAAUGAAUUCAAUCAAAGUGGAGAAUAUUAUUAAUGUGUAGUAAUUUUGUUGAGAUUUAUGUUUGUCGAGCAUUUUUGUCGUGAACAUGCUGAAUGUUUGAUCUCCAUUUGUUGGAAAGACGAUUGUUUCCUGUUGUAGAUAAAUGCUGACAGUAUGAACUUCAGUGAAUACGAUCCAGUCUUUACUGAUGAUAUUUUGCUUUGCACUUUAUUACAUGUUCAAUAUUGUUAUUUCAUGCACCUUAAAGACUGUGAUGAAUGUAUGCAGCACUUUGUAGCUGAUGAUAAAUAUGAAUUUUGUUUACUGAGAGAAAAAAUCAAAUAAAGUUGUUUGGCGUGUGGGUGAGUUCUGCACGUGCAAUCGUGUGUCUUCA